rnacentral:rRNA from 1 species
UACGUAGGGUGCAAGCGUUAAUCGGAAUUACUGGGCGUAAAGCGUGCGCAGGCGGUUUUGUAAGUCUGUCGUGAAAUCCCCGGGCUCAACCUGGGAAUUGCGAUGGAGACUGCAAGGCUGGAAUCUGGCAGAGGGGGGUAGAAUUCCACGUGUAGCAGUGAAAUGCGUAGAUAUGUGGAGGAACACCGAUGGCGAAGGCAGCCCCCUGGGUCAAGAUUGACGCUCAUGCACGAAAGCGUGGGGAGCAAACAGG